rnacentral:rRNA from 1 species
GAUGAACGCUAGCGGCAGGCCUAACACAUGCAAGUCGAGGGGCAGCACGUCUUCGGAUGGUGGCGACCGGCGCACGGGUGCGUAACGCGUAUGCAACCUACCUCUUACAGUGGGAUAGCCCAGAGAAAUUUGGAUUAAUACCGCAUAGUAUACAGAUUCAGCAUUGGGACUGUAUUAAACAUUUAUGGGUAAGAGAUGGGCAUGCGUUCUAUUAGUUAGUUGGAGUGGUAACGGCACCCCAAGACAGCGAUAGAUAGGGGCCCUGAGAGGGGGAUCCCCCACACUGGUACUGAGACACGGACCAGACUCCUACGGGAGGCAGCAGUGAGGAAUAUUGGACAAUGGGCGAGAGCCUGAUCCAGCCAUGCCGCGUGCAGGAAGACGGCCCUAUGGGUUGUAAAC